rnacentral:rRNA from 1 species
UUCCGUAGGUGAACCUGCGGAAGGAUCAUUAAUGAAACUUCAAAGUCGGCCAAAGGUUGUUGCUGGUGAUUAUUCACAUGUGCACGCCUUUGGUCGCAAAUCCACACACACCUGUGCAUCUAUGACUCGAGGUUGUAAUGACUGAGAGUAACUUUUAUACACUCUUGUAUGUAAUGGAAUGUCUUUUUGUGCUAUAAUGUACAAUAUAAACAACUUUCAACAACGGAUCUCUUGGCUCUCGCAUCGAUGAAGAACGCAGCGAAAUGCGAUAAGUAAUGUGAAUUGCAGAAUUCAGUGAAUCAUCGAAUCUUUGAACGCACCUUGCACCCUUUGGUAUUCCGAAGGGUACGCCCGUUUGAGUGUCAUUGUAAUCUCACUUCUACAACUUUAUUGUUGUUUGAAUGUGGACUUGGAUGUUGCCGUUUUAUCACGGCUCGUCUUAAAUGCCUGAGUGUACCCUGUUUUGCAGCGUAUCCAGUGUAAUAAACAUUUCACUAGAGUUGGUUGAAAGACCACGUUGACUAUAUGGGCUCUAUGCUUCAAACCGUCUGCCAUGUGGACAAUUUCUUGACAAUUUGACCUCAAAUCGGGUGGGACUACCCGCUGAACUUAAGCAUAUCAAUAAGCGGAGGAAAAGAAACUAACAAGGAUUCCCCUAGUAACGGCGAGUGAAGAGGGAAAAGCUCAAAUUUUAAAUCUGGUGUCUUUGACUCCCGAGUUGUAAUCUAGAGAAGUGUUUUCCGUGUCGGACCGUGUACAAGUUCCCUGGAACGGGGCGUCAUAGAGGGUGAGAAUCCCGUAUAUGCCACGGACUACCGAUGCUCUGUGAUACACUCUCAACGAGUCGAGUUGUUUGGGAAUGCAGCUCAAAAUGGGUGGUAAAUUCCAUCUAAAGCUAAAUAUUGGUGAGAGACCGAUAGCGAACAAGUACCGUGAGGGAAAGAUGAAAAGCACUUUGGAAAGAGAGUGAAACAGUACGUGAAAUUGUUGAAAGGGAAGCGUUUGAAGUCAGUCGCAUCUGUUGGGGUUCAGCCUGGCUUUUGCCUGGUGUACUUUCCGUCCGACGGGUCAGCAUCAAUUUCGACCGAGGGAAAAAGACGUGAGGAAUGUGGCUGUCUUCGGGCAGUGUUAUAGCCUUGUGUUGUAUGUCUCGGUUGGGACUGAGGAUUGCAGCGCGCCAUAAAUGGCCGGGGGUCGCUCCUCUCGACACGCGCUUAGGAUGCUGGCAUAAUGGCUUUAAGCGACCCGUCUUG